rnacentral:rRNA from 1 species
UCGAGGACACGCUGGCGGCGCGCCUAAACACAUGCAAGUCGAACGGGGUUGCGUUCGAAUGAAGUUUUCGGAUGGAAUUUGGAUGUACCUAGUGGCGAACGGGUGAGUAACACGUGAAUAACCUGCCCUGGAGUGGGGGACAACAGUUGGAAACGACUGCUAAUACCGCAUAAGCCCACAGAACCGCAUGGCUCAGGGGGAAAAGGAGCAAUUCGCUUCAGGAUGGAUUCGCGUCCAAUUAGCUGGAUGGUGAGGUAACGGCCCACCAUGGCGACGAUUGGUAGCCGGACUGAGAGGUUGAUCGGCCACAUUGGGACCGAGACACGGCCCAGACUCCUACGGGAGGCAGCAGUGGGGAAUAUUGCACAAUGGGGAAACCCUGAUGCAGCGACGCCGCGUGGAGGAAGAAGGUCUUCGGAUUGUAAACUCCUGUCGUUGGGGACGAUAAUGACGGUACCCAACAAGAAAGCCACGGCUAACUACGUG